rnacentral:lncRNA from 1 species
CAUCGGCAUGGUGGACUUCCCAGAAGCACUCUGCGACUUUGGCUCCAGUGUCAACAUUAUACCCAGGGUACUCUAUGAAAAAUUCUUUACAUAUCCUUUAUUAGAAACAACCAUGUGUUUGCAGUUUGCAGAUCAGACGAUAACUUUUCCAAAAGGAAUAGUGAGGAACCUUUGUGUCCGAGUUGGUACCUUGUAUGCCCCAGCAGACUUCGUAGUGGUAGAGACCGGAAAUGAUGAGAGAGCACCUAUCAUCCUAGGAAGGCCAUUUUUGAACACCACGGGAGCUAUCAUCUACGCUAGUGUUGCCAAGAUCAGUUUCUACGUCAAAGGGAAGAAGGAGACAUUUUUCUUCAAGAACAAGACUACACAAAUUCAAGAUCAAUCCAGACGUGAAUCAAGGAAGAGGACCAACAGGAGAAACAGGAACAAGCAAGUGUGGACCGAGUCAGCUAAGAUGGUCACUGUAGUCCAUGGAGGCCAAGAUCACCAACUUAAGUCACCGUUUUUUACCAAGAAGGACGACCCAGGAAUGCCAAGCAUCUACUGCUCCAUAAAUGGAUAUAACUUCUACAAGACGAUUUGCGACACCGGAUCGGGCGUCAACAUAAUGGCUGCAGUCACUUAUCGGCUCUUGUUCGGGACCAUGCCACUAAGACCAACAUACAUUCAGCUCCAGAUGGCAGAUCAGACAUUUCGAGAAGUUCAAGGAAUAGUAUCUGAUGUCCCAGUCAAAAUAGACGAUCACCUUGUCUACACAGACUUUCAAGUUGUUGACAUGGGAGAAGACGAGUAUGAUCCACCCAUCAUCCUUGGAAGACCGUUCCUCAGCACCGUUAAAGCAAUUAUCUACAUUGGAACCGGAGAAGUCCAUAUGCACUUCCCCUCAGAGAAGGUACGCCGUUAUUUUACUGACCCUAACUAUAUCAUUGAAGAAUCUAAGCAGGUCAGAAAAAGACGCAACCGCAACCAGAGGAGGCAGAUCAUCAAGGACGGAUGGGCAGACUAUGAAGGAGAAGUUGUAAGGUCAGAAGACGUAGAGUUUAAACAGAAUUAUCCAGAGGAGAUUGAAGCACCGAGUCAGGUAUGAAAAUGAAGAUAACUAUACAUGAAGAGGAGGCGCUACCGGAAGUACCGACUUCGCCACCCAACGAACCUCAGGACGAUUAAGAAGUUGGAGAGUCCCGUUCGGAGGACUUAAAAACACCGAACGCCCUGCCAAGAGGUAAACUUGAUAGUUAUCCUUUCCCUUUUAAUUAUUUCAAAUAGUUUACUUAGUUAAUUAUGUUCAUGCUAUCCUAAAAAGAAAAUUAAAAAAAAAAUGUAAGCCCCAUGUGAGUAGACGAGUGGCACAAAACCCAUAAGUACAUUCACUGUGGUGGCAUAAAAAUAAAAUAAAUUUUUUUUCUGCUUUAUAAAAUAAAAAUAUAAAAACAGGGAGUAACAAUUAUUAAGGAGUCUCAACAUGAUAAAGGCUAGAUAUUUAUGCUAACACUUAAUCAGUUCCACAAGCUAUGUUGUCUAUUUGAGCUCCACAGAAUUUAAGAAUCAAGAAAACUAGCAGACGGAGGACAUUCUAAAUCACUGUCAGAAUGCUGCUAACUUUCAACUACACCUCUGCCACCUGCUAGCUACAUCAAGAGAAAUUACGUCAAAAUUCAGCUUGGGGGAGAGCACCCCCAUUUAUCCCGAUAAGUAUAUCUAUCUAUCUUUAUACUUAUAUUAUUUUAGAAUAUUAAAAUACACAUAAACUAUGGGAAAACCAAAUAAAGAUUUGUGCUUAUAUAUGUCUUUUGCUUAGUGUGUUUAAUAAAUAAAUAAAGUGGCUAUGCUAAUCUGUAUCUAAACAAAAACUUAAGCAUGGAUAUGAUGAAUAGUUGCUCUGCCUAAUUUGCACAUUCUAAGUUCUCUCUCAAGUUUAGAUAUAACUGUUAUAAUUUAAAGCUUGCCCUAGACCUAAACUUGUGGGAUGAAAACUUGAUCUGAAGUCUAAGUUGUUAACGGAUACGAUAUGGGAAGGUUGAGCUGCUGUUUAUCUGUUCCUAGAGAUGCUAGAAUUCUGGAGAAUUUUAUCUUUAAAAAUCUUUAAAAUGUUGCAUGAUGAGUUCCUGUAUGAUGAGAGCUUAAAUUCCUACCACAGCCUUAUAUACAUGCUUGCUAGACUUUGAGCCACACAUUUAUUAUUUACUGCUUAUGAGCAUUGAGUGUGGUCAAGCUGUGUAGACCUUUAGGAGCUUGUCAUGUGGUUAAAUCAAGAUUUCACUUGCACGUUCACUCAUAUAUGCUACUUCUACUCCAGAAGUACCAUCCACAUAUAUCCAUCCAUUUCCAUCUCCAGAAUCACCCAAAAAUAUUCUGCUCCUAAUCUGGGAGAGAACAACUAAAAAUAUUUCUGUUUCCCCUUGUGAAAUAAAUGCUCAAGUUAUCUUGUUACUACCACUUGCUAUAUUAUCUCAAGAGAUGAGUGCUCUAAAAAAAGAGAAGAAAAUAAAAAAAAUAAAUGAGGAAAUAAAAAGGAGCAAGUGCUCGGAACCUCGAAAGAAAAGAAAGAGUGAGACGAGAGGUAAAAAUGGACAAGUGUCCGACAGUAGAAUUAGGGGUGCAAGAUACCCACCUGAGAGACAAGAAAAAGAAGAGCAUCUCAUUCUUCUCAUAAAGUUUCAAACGCAAGGAAGGUAUGUAUCCCCUCAAAAGAGCAAAGUAGAAUUAGACUUCCACCACCAUUGUUUUCACCAUUGUUAUCACCAUCAUCACCAUACACCAUUCAUUCGCCACACAUGCACAUCUUGAUUUGGCUUAUUGAUUUGUUUCUUUGGAUCCAAGGUUUGACCAUGCAAUAAAUGUCUUGUGAGUAUGUAUACUUUAUCUCCCACCUAUGAGCUCCAAAUAUUAAAUCCUUAUUAGAGUAGGCAAUGUCACUAUGCCUUAUACCACAAAUACUACAUAUCUUGAGAGAAGGCAUAUACCAUCAAUGCCUUGGUAAGGAUCCAAAAAUACCACAAAAGAGAGAUCUGAGAGAAUCAUACAAGGAAUCUCUGAGUUUUAUUUGAAAAUCUGCAAAAAACCCCAGAGUUAUAGCUGAUCAAGAAUAAGAGACAUGGCACUUGGCUAGACUGUUCUAUCUUUUAACCACUCAACACGGAAGUGACAGUUACAAGUCCCAUGGUGUAGGUAAAGUAAGUAAGUUUUAAGUCUUGACAGUUUACUCUAACUCAGAGAUGAGAUCUUAUUUAAAAAGCAUGUGUACCGUCAAUUUUUAAAGAUAUUGCAACUACUUAUGAUCCAUUGCUGAGUCUAUCCUUGCUCAGGGACGAGCAAGAGGUAAGCUUGGGGGAGUUUGUUGACGGUCCUUAAGUAUCAAAUUUAAUUAUCAAAUAAAUAAAGAAAAGGAUCCAAAUGAAUUCAAGAUCUAGACUUAGGGUUUUAUCUGACAGAAUUCCACGAGUUUUGGUGUUUGUCUAUUUCUGCAGGGGGUUAUCAGGAAAUAUGGAAGAAAGGCCCACAUGUCAGGAUUACGUAAAGGUAUUAACGUGCUGCGCAAUUAUCUUACAUCUAGAAGACUCCAGAAGCCACGAGACCGAAGCGGAGGCGAAUCGGGGCCAGAGACAGGGCGCCCGCCCUGUCCUACUGGGCGCCCGCCCUGCUCCCAAGUCCAAUCAGGACUCUGCUUUGUGGGAGAUCUCCACCGACCUAAAGGAUGAAUCUAAACCAUACAAUCUAUGUCGGUUUGAUCCAAGGGCCCAUAUUCACUUCAAGGGACUAUAAAACCAGACCCCUUGGCCCCUGGAGGAGAGAGCCUCUCAACCCUAAUUCAUUGUUCCAUCAAGGGAGAAGAAGCCUCUGAUCAAGAUUAGAGCCACCAUAUCAAUUAGAUAUCUAGAUUAGCAUAGCUACAUAGGAUUAGAACUAGAAGGAGUCAAUCUUCGAUUGGUUUCCGGAUCUGUCAAGAGGAUUCUUGGUAAUUCUCUAAUUGUGCUUCUAAUUGCUUUCUAAUUAUCUUUGUUCUUCAAUAUUAUGAAUAUGACUUUGUUCUACUUCAAUAUAUUGCUUAUGACUUUGAUCUACUUGCUUAUAUUCAAGAUUAUAUUGUUCUUAGUUUAUCAUAGUUAUGUACUUGGCUUAGUUAGAUUGGAUCUAUAUACAUGCUUAGGAUCGUAUAGCGUUUAUCCAUCGGAUCCAUGGGUAAAUGAUAGAUAUUGUGUAGGCGUGGUGCUUAUACCGUAUUUAUCUACGAUUGUACCCAAUAUGCCAGAUCGUGGGGUGGUUCGUGAUAGUGACAGCUUCAUUGAUUCUUAUAUAGUCCCCCUCUCGUGUAUUGGGCUGGCAGAGCAACAUUAUUACAGGGGAGUGAUUGCUAUGUUUCUCAUAUUCCUUGCUAAUAUCACUAUGCAUGGGCGUAGUCUUGUCUCGCAAUGAUUGCUAAGUAUGCUUGCACUAACUAUGAUAUGCUAGACUAUAUAGUUGAGAAUAACUUAGGGAAUAUUCUUGUAGUUCGUUCUAAUACCGUGCUAAUGACUUUCUAGAGUAUCUAAUUGAGGUGCUUAUCAUAUUUAUUAUGUGGCUACAUCAGAUUAGUUAUCCUUGUCACUAUUAUUAUUUCAUAUAUCUUUUAUGUGACACUUAUCCCUGUAUGAAGAGUUAGAUAUAAUGUUCUCAAUUAUACAUGCUAUGAUAGAUACUCAAUCUCAUAUUCUAUUCUGUAAUCAUUAGUGAUGAUUGCUAAUCCCUUCCCAGUGGUAAAAAUAUAAAUAACGAUACCUGGAAUACUUCCCGGUUAAAAUGUUGCAUCGGUAUUAAUCUGUGCGCUUGCAGAUCCAAUUCAUUAUUUAUUUAGAAGAGCAAUUGCAUAUUUCAAUACCGCGUCUCUUAUAUCAUGCUGGGGAUGACAACUUGGCUUAAGUGGUGUGAGGGAUAGGUUUGGCAUUUUUGGCACCGUUACUAGAUUUAGAGAACUUAGUCUACUUUUGGUAAUGAUGUUAAGAAUACCCAACACUGUCCUUCCGGCUCCGGCAACUCGUAUUCCAGUACCGUCACACCCUUGGGUACACCUAUGGAUGCAUGACAAGGAGAUGAAUAUAGAGAAUGCACAUGCGAUGCAUGAUAUCAUGAUGAGGAGCAAAAGGACAUAAACAAGGCAUAACAUGAGCAUAAACUUCUAAGAUUAAGUGAAUCAUGGGCUAACAAGUAAGUGCAUACUUCUUCUCUGGUAGAGAGAUUAAAUAGACAAGUUAAACGAAUUCUAGUUAUUCCUACUCAGCCACUGGUUUAGUAGACAACCAACCUGUUCCAAGUUUCAGCCAUAACUUAGGCACCAGUUAACCAAACUAAGCAAGUAAGUACUUUCUGGAAAGCUUAGCAAAUUGUCUACAAUUCAUUUUUAGACAUCUCAGUAUGAUUCCCAACCGAAAUAUGCUAAAACAUACAAAGUUGGCUGGCUGCUCUGGAAAUUCCAGAGAGCAAGCACUUUGCAGCAGCUAGUUGAAAUAUGCAUAACUUUCAAAUUACUCAACCAAUUGUCAUGAAAUUUGGACACGAAAAGGAUCAGUAAGUUAGAUACAAGUUUGUUGUAGACAAGUUUCCCAGAAAACACAAUCUUCAAGUAGUUCUUAAUAAUUUGCUAUCAGCUGUACAGAAAUGCUAUAGGAAAGGCAAUAAUAGCUAAAAUAAUAUUUUGCAUAUAUUGAGAAUGUACCACAGGGAUAAACCAAUUGCACCAACAGAUAUAACAUAUCUAAGGAACACCAGAAAACACUAUGGCAAGGUCUAAAACUAUUUCUAUCAUCACCUUUUCUAUUUAUUUAAUUAUUAAGGUGAUUUAAUGAACAUAUACUUAAAGUGUUCAAAAAAUCCUACGAAAAUUACAGCAAGCUACUUAUGCUAACAUAAGAUCACUGUAAAAUUUUCAGAACAUUUGCACAUACACAUUGUGAGGUAUAAAAAUAACAAGCUAGUAGAGGCAUGCAAGGCAUAAAUGUGAAACCCUAUCAAAAAGUGUCAAACAACAGAUUUCAGAUUUUUCCUAGCUUUGCCCACACAUAAGUGCAACACUCAGCAAGUUUCAUCACAAAAGGAGUUAUAACUUAAUUACUAAAAAUAUCACAAUAAACUCCUAUUUAAGCAAGAUUUAUUUUUAACUUCUUAACUAGGCUUCCAAAAAUCAUGAAACAUUUAUCAGAGCCUAUUCAUAACAUAAGUAAAAACUCCCUAAAUUUGCAUGGCCAGCAGAUCAAUAGAUCUCAAGAUAAAAUUACCCACUGAAAAUCAAAGAUUAAUUUAUAUCUAUUUAUUUCUGCAAAAACAUAGCAUGUUUCAUAUUUUUAUUAAAAACUAGGCUUAAGCUGGAACCUAGCAAAACUGGAAGCACCACAUUUGGAUCUCUAAAACUUCAGAUAUGAAUUUUACAAAAACAGCUUUGGCUCUGCACAACAGUGAACCAGAGAGGGUGACACAGAGAGGCUGACAUCCGGGACCCGCGUGUCAGUGAGACAGAGGCAGGGGAGAUGCUCGUCGCCGGCGAAGCUCAACGACGACGAGGUCUCGGCCGGAUCCAAAGGCACCUACGUGUUCCUCUCCUCAAGGGGACUCUGUUGACCUACUUUACGCGCGCUGUACUGGACUCUAGGGUGCUCGCCGACGGGAAUGGCGGAGCGGCGGCGCUGCGCGGCGAUACGCCGGCGGAUCCAGGCAAUGGCGACGCAGUAGAGGUUGCGGACGAGCAAGAGCGGCUCAUGGCGAAGCUAUAGGAAGAAUAAUCACGGCCAGAGGUGAACCAGAGAGGUCUGGCCACGUUGCCGGUGAUCUCUGUGAACUCCAGCGAGGUGGAGCUCGCGACGGAGAUGACAAUGUGACCUCACUGGUGCUCGGCUAAGGGAAUGGAGUGGACGUCGAGGUAGAGAACGUCAAGGCGGAGCUCUGGGCGGAGUGGCUUGGCCGGAGACGCGGUGGAACGACCGGAGGAGCUCGCCGAAGCGCGGCGGAGCUUCCUGAGGCGACGGCGGAGCGAAAUGUGCAGCGCUGAGCGAGUGGAGAGCGCGUCUGAGGCGUCCACUCGGUGCGUGGCGACUUAGGGACGCCGUGGGAGCUGACAGGUGGGGUCGACGACGGCGUACGGCCGACACCUGGCCGAACACGCGGCGGCGGACGGUUUCUGACGAAACUGAAUCACGCGAUUCAGUCGUCGCCAACAGUGACUGAAACUCGAACUUUGUCAACGUUUUACUCCCAGCUCAAUGAAUGGUUUUGGCUGGGAUUUGAUCCUCUGGACAGAGCUACACGAGUUCUAGAACUUUGAUUACAAGAUCAAGGUCUAACUCAGUCUGGAUUUCAAACUACAAGGCUCCCAAUCACCCUUGGUCGAAACUGCGUGAUCGAACACUUAGCCAAAUUCGGCUAAGUGUGAAAUCAGCCCUGAUUUUUGGCUUGUGAGCAAUUUUUGGAUAUGUUCUAAGCUUUUUCAUAAAAAGUCAUCUACAUAACUUUUGUAGCUUAUGAAAUUCUCUACAACUUUGUUUCAGGUGUCAAAGACAUGCAAGAUCUCUAACACCAGUUUCAUAAAACAUCUUUGAAAAGAGGUCUAGGAGGGUCAAAAAGGUCAUUCUAGGGUUAACCAUGACUCAGGGGCAUUUUUGGCCAAAACCUUCAACAUGAACAUUGUUCCAAAUGAUAUUUUAAACAUGAUUGAGGUAUUUUGGAAGACAAUGUACAAUUAUUUGCAUUGGCUACCCCUUAUAGUCACCCAAUUCAAGUCACACAAGCAAUUUAAUCAUGUAGUGCAUAAAGCAAAUGGCAUGUGAUCAUGGUAUGAUGCUCAUGAGUGAUCAUGAUGAUGCUUAUGCUAAUGCAAUGCUCAUGGUUAACAUGCAAGCUAACACUAGGAGUGUUACAUUAUUUGUGGUGGAACGGGCAGCAGUGGUUAUGUUUUGCGGCACUUUUGAUGCGUGCUUUGUGGUUUGCUGGUAGGGCGGCCAAAGGAUUUCUCUUUUCCUGACGGACUUUCUCCCGAGAAGAAUUCUCUUGGUAGGGUGCUAUAUCUAGGUUCGCUACGGUCUUGGGUGCGUUGAUCAGUGAGAGGUCGUAGCUAGCCAUGAUUAGCACUUGGGAAUGGGAGAGCUUAGCAAACUUUUGCACAAGGGAGAAGAGAGAGUCUUGGUGUGAAAAAAAGAGAGAGCUAUGGGCUGCUUAAAUAGGUUCUACUGAGGUCAUAAAAAUAGAAACAAACUUGAUCGUAGGCGGGGAAUUGAUAUUUGAACAAAAAGGGAACUCUUCAAAAAAGAUUGGGCCUAAUUGGUCGGGCUAGGGUUGCGCUCGCAACUGGUUGCGCCCGCACCCUGGGUCCCACUAGUCAACCCCUGUCUUUUUGGCAAGUUCUUUCUGGACAGAGUGGAUUUCAAUCCCACUUACGAUCAAUUUUGAUUCGCAGCGNNNNNNNNNNNNNNNNNNNNNNNNNNNNNNNNNNNNNNNNNNNNNNNNNNNNNNNNNNNNNNNNNNNNNNNNNNNNNNNNNNNNNNNNNNNNNNNNNNNNNNNNNNNNNNNNNNNNNAUAUAUAUAUAUAUAUAUAUAUAUAUAUAUAUAUAUAUAUAUAUAUAUAUAUAUAUAUAUAUAUAUAUAUAUAUAUAUAUAUAUAUAUAUAUAUAUAUAUAUAUAUAUAUAUUGAGAGACAUGUGAUGGAUAAGAUUUAUUAAAAACAUUUGUUAGAAAACAAAAGGGAUAAAUACCGAUUUACCUUCGGCAAGGGCUCAUCUUUAUAGUCCGUGGAGCCGGACUUGUCUCCCAUCACUGUUUGCUUGAUGAUGGCUCAACCGUCUUGGGAGGAGGAGAUGGUUGGACCUUCUUGGGCUUCCAUUCUAGGUGGAUCACCUUGGGCAGUGUGGCGGUUUGUUCAACUUUUUCUUUUACCUUCCACACUGUCUUCUUUUGUGAGGGUUUGGGGACUUCGUCCCUCUUUUCUUGGAUUUUCUUUUCAGGAGCUUCUUUCUUUUUUCCUCCUUUUUAUUCUUUUUAGGAGCCACCUUUUGCUUUAGCUCCGACUUUUGUUUUGAUAUUUUUGAUAAGUUUUUCAGAAGUUGGGGCUGGAUCUCAACUUCCCUGAUGCCUUGGGGAUUGGGCCCAUAGCGGAUGCGUAUCAUGUUGCAGGAUUCUUGAUGGCGUGGCCUGAAUUCGAACUUCUCUUCUUGGCCAUUAAUGUUGAAGCAGAUUUCUCAGGCUCCCACAUCAAAUUAUGCUUUUGUCGUGCUCAAGAAUGGCCUUCCCAGGAUUAGUGGUGUCUCCUUGGUGAGUUCCAUAUUUAACACCACAAAAUCCACGGGGACGUAAUAUCCUCUGAUCUUAACAGGUAUGUCUUGGGCAAUCCCUGCUGGGUACCAAACUGACGAGUCCGCUAACUGGAGUGUCAUGUUGGUUGGUUCCAAGUUGGUGAAGUUUAGCCUAUCAAAGACUGAUUUCGGCAUGAUGCUCACACUCGCCCCAAGAUCAUAUAAGUCAUGAUCAAAAUGUUGGGUUCUAUUGAGCAUGUAAUUGUGGGGCACCCAGGAUCUUGCUUCUUCUCAGGUAGAUGGUUGAGUAUAGCUGCGCUACACUCUUCUGUCAGCUUGACGACUUCUGCGGAGGGUAAUGGUCGCUUGUUGUUCAUGAUAUCCUUGAUAAACUUAGCAUAGGAUGGUAUGUGCAAGACAUCAAUCAGCGGGACGCUGACGUUUGUCUUCUCGACCAUUUCCACGAAGCAGAGAAAUUGCUCUUCUCCAUCCUUCUUCUUCUUCCUCCACCUGGUGGGGAAAGGAAGCAUCAUGGUGUCCCCAUAAACUUCUGGAGUCGGUUCCUCAUCUAAUGAUUCAUCUUGAGGAUCAACCGGCUCAGCAGAUGUUUGUUCUUGUUGACGCAGAGUCUUAGCUGUACCAUGGUUAGGGUUUGGUGGAUCAUGAGUGGUCUUACCCCCUCUCGUGGCCAUCGAACUAAUAUUUUCAACACCAUCAGCAGACUUAGCAGCAGAAGCAAGCUGAUCUAUUUGAGACAUUACUCUUUUAUUGAAAGAUGCUUGCUCUAUAAACGAGGUGGUCAGGCCAUCAAGCUUGGUGUUUAUGUUUUCAAACAUUUUAUCAUUAAAGGAAAGCUUUUUAACAAUGUUUUCAUUUAUCUUGGCCUUACCAAGAACAAGAUCUUUAAGCGAAGGCUGGGAAGAACUAAAGCCUGAGUUAAACGAGGAAUUACCUUGGGGGCGAUUUUGGUUGUUCCACCCAUUACCUUGCUGUUAUUGUUGGCGAAACGCGUUGUUGAUGAAUGCAGCAUCUUCCUGGGUUUCAGGACAAUUGUUCCCCAUGUGGCCAACAUUUCCACAGUCCUCACAUGUCAUGUGUGAGUCUAUGGCCUGGACAGUGCCGGUAGCUGGAUCGGUGGCACGUCCUUCCAACCUCUUCAUGAGUUUGUCUAUUUUUGUGGCAAGCAAAUCCGUCUCCUUAACGGUAUGCAUGCCCUUUUGUGUCUUGUGUUCCUCUCCCCAACUCUGGUUAGCCACCAUCUUCUCGAUGAGGGCUUUGGCCUCAGUGAUGGUAAGGGAGAGGAAUGCACCUCCAGCUGUGGCAUCAACAUGCCCCUUGCACAUGGCCGUGAGGCGUUCAUAGAAGUUUUGCAGCAUGAGCCAUCCUUCCAUUCCAUGGUGAGGGCAAGCCCGGAUAUAUUCCUAGAGCCUUUCCCAAGCCUCAGGAAUGGACUCGAGUGAAGAUUGCUAGAAGUUUGAUAUCUUUCCCCUAAGAGCAUUUGUUUUGCUCAUGGGGAAAAACUUGGCAAGGAACGCUGCGGCGCAUUUGUUCCAUGUGUCGACUGCUUCUUAACUUUGAUAGAACCAUUGCUUCGCUUUCCCCGAGAGGGAGAAAGGAAACAAACAGAUCUUGACGCUGUCAGGUGCGACAUCCUUAAUGAUGAUGGUUUCGCACAGCUCAAGGAAGUUGUGCAGGUGUGCGUUCGCGUCCUCACUUGGCAAGCCACAAAAUUGGUUCGUCUGCACCAUUGUCAGUAGGCUAGUGUGGAGUUCAAAGUUUCCAGUCCCGAUAUUGACAGCGGGCCCAACGGGCACGUUGGCAACAGCGGGGGUGGAGUACUCGCGGAGUGACUUGGCCAUGACAAUUGAAGUGGAUGGUGCAGAAGUGACCGGUUCUUCUGUCGGAGAAGUAGGAGAGGAAGAAACAAGUUUCUUCUUGUUCUUCUUCCUUAGGCGUCCUUCUGGAUUGACGGUGAAAUUUUCCGACAAGUUGAAACCGCUCAUACACUAUCCUAUUUUCGUUCCAUAUAAAGAGGAGGAAGAAAACAGCAAAAUUAACCUGUUUAAACUAUGGCUACCAAUGCUUAUUAUGUAAUCAAUGUUUAUGCCAAUGCAAGAUGCUUUUGCAUUUUCAAUUGCCUUCCCCGGCAACGGCGCCAGAAAUGCUUGUUGGCGUGUCUUAGCGAAACUAUUAAAGUUAGAGUUUUAGUCCUUCCUUAAUAAUAACACUAGAAACGUUCUUGGCAUAUCCUAACCACCAUCACUUCAGAAAGAUAAACCAAGGCCUUUUACGGCGCUGGCCUAGGCAUGCAGUCUGGUACUGAUGAUUAGAAUUGUCAGAUUGGCCUUCCUAACCAUCCUUACUUACGAUAUGCAAAGCUGUGGCCCGGCGCCGUGUGGGUGCACAAGGAUUACAAUCUUAAGUAAAGGUACUUAGGUACACCAAUCGAUAGCUCAGUUAUAGGAAUAAAUUACUCUUCAAGCGCACAGAACUAUAAUUGUAGCAUUUCAACCCGUGAGUAUUCAGGGGUGUCAUAUUUAUAAUUUCCCGUAGGAAGGCAUUGUGAACGCAUGUAGCUUUGGUUAUAAACAUGAUUACUUAUUGAAAUGCAAGGUAUACAUAGUAUAAACAAGGGUAAAUAUGUAGUUGAUUUGAUAGCGGACACACAUCGGAGCAACCUCAAGGAAUAAAGGGAAAACAAAGAAUAAAAAAACAACUACGCGAGCAGGCAUGGUCGUAUACAAGUUAUACAACAUAUCUGUUAGCAGGUCAUCUAGCAAAUAAGAAAAAGUUAGAGCUAAGUCUGAGAUACUGGGGAGAUCUCCAUAGCUGGUCUGCCAGCAAAUAGAGACUUUACAUGACUCCUACCAAAUAUCUGAACGUCGAGGAAUAUGAAGGAUGACAGGGCUUUCACCACCCUACCACCUACCCCUCUGCCCGUGGGAUACCCGCAUAUCCUCGGGUCUCCGCAUACCCGAGCACCAUGCCCGUGUACUUGGAAAUACCCCCUAGCCUCCCGGGACCCCAACCCUUCGGAUUGACAGGCUCGGCUAAGGGUGACCAUUACAGCCCAAAGAACCAUUAUCUCAUCCCUAGUUCUUCCUCUAUUCAUAUUAACUUGAUGAACGAUGAAGAACUGUGAUGAACAUAUCAAGAACGUAGAGCUGGAAAUAUGAACUAGCUUAUAAACUAUGAUAAUGAUAUGAACAAGACUAUACUCUAGAUCAAAAGCAUAACUGUAUAAGGAAUAUAAGAACUUGCUCACGGAGGAAGGCAUAAUUGUAUUCAUACCAAGACACUCUUGAUCCUCCAAGGAGACAAGCUCUCCUUGCUAGCUUUGCCUUGCUCUACUACUAGUACUAAACUAAAGUGAACAAGUGUAGAAUGUGAGAUGUGUUGCUCCAAAUGAUGGUGUGUGUUACAAAUGAGAGGGGAGCCAUCUAUUUAUAGCUCAACUAUGAUGGUUUGCGGGAUCUAAAUAUAGUAGUAGGUGAAACCGUCCUAUGCAUGCUGCCAUGCAACCGCCAGAAGAAGGUGGGGCCGGGGAACCACCACUAGGGUUGCGCACGUAACCUGGGUGGGCCACCCUGGCCACCACCUUCGCAUGGUCGGUUGUGCUCUGAGCCCUGAUCCUCCUCGUGGUUACGGAUGGGUCCAGUUCAUCUUUUGUGGGCUUUUCUCUAUUGGAGUUGGUUUGCGUCUUUUCUAAAUACGAAUUCUUGCAUUGCGCAUUUCUUGUAUCUCUUGCACUUUUCCACGUGUCAUACCUGAAAAUAGCAUAUAUACCAAAACUCAUGGAAAGAUUUGAUCAAAGCCCUAUUUUCUAUUUAUUUUUAUUUAUAAAAAGAUAUUUAUUUUUAUAUAAUAAGCGUCGCCAACAACUGGCAUAUGGCUUAUUAGAGGGACCAUGGGCUAUCAUUUUUUCCUUCCUAUUUUUCAGUCUCUCUCUUUUUUUUUCAAGUGGGCAUCAAGUACCCCUAAUUCUACUGUCGGACACAUGUCCAUUUUUUCCACUCAGGUGGGUAUCUUUGUACCCCUAAUUCUACUUCGGACACUUGUUCAUUUUUACCUCUCGUCUCACUCUUUUUUUUCGAAUCAAAUUUUUGCAUAGUCCCAUGCCUCUAACGUAAUAAUACUUCGGAAGAGAGAAUCUUUUAUAUUUUCAAAACAAAAAGAUCUUGUUCUUUGGAGCAUGAUAAUUCUCUCAACCAAAACUACAUGAAUUAACAAUGGCUUGAACAAAUUAAGUGCCCACAGUUUUAAUAUUUAUAUCUUAUAAGACUAUGUAUUAUGUCAAACAGGAUCUCAUUUUUUUUGAAUUUUUAGUUUUUCAAAAGAUAAAAUCUCCAGAACUCUAGCGAAACUUGGAACAAGUUAAAUAGUAGCUCACACCUUCUCAUAUCAUGUUUGUCAAUUACCUAGACUUGGAUCAAACUUUCUUUUUAUUUUAUUUAAAACUUACGAUUACACAAAACUAUUGUAUAUAACUCAAAAGAAAAACUUUGUUUGGUUUCAUGGUUAUGCAUUUUUUUAUUUCCGAAUACUAGUAAAUAAAACCAAGAAAGAAAAGUAAUACUUAUCUUGAUACACGUGGGGGUGCCUCCCCCAAGCUGGAUGUUGACAUAGUCGUUCACUCUUGUGGUCUGCAUGUUCGUCUCACUCUUCUUAAGUCUCAAAAUCCUACACAACCCAAAUAGACAACAAAACUCGUGGAGCAUAUUAAGGGUUAGGUAAUUGUCUAGAGCUUAUGAGAGCUUGAUGUGAGAAUUCUAUGAACUCAAUCACAUCAAGUUCCUCUACCAGGUUGUUUUGUGGCUCAAGAUAGAUUUUCAAGCGUUGACCAUUUACCUUAGAAGUGUUACCUAUGUCGUUUUGGAUGGUAAUGGCUCCACGAGUUGAAGUGUCAAUAACCUUGUAUGGUCCAUCCCACUUACUCCGUAGCUUACCAUGCCCAAAGAGCUUAACUCUUGAAUUAAAUAGUAGAACCUUAUCUCCAGGCUUAAACUCCUUGUGCUUGAUUCUCGUAUCAUGCCAUCAUUUUGUUCUCUCUUUAUAGAUCCUUGAAUUGUGGUAGGCUUUCUCUCUCCAUUCUUCUAGCUCAAAUAGUUGCAUCAGACGAUUCUCGCUAGCCAGGUGGAGAUCCAUGUUCCAUUUCUUGACUGUCCAAUGAGCUUUAAACUCUACUUCCACAGGCAAAUGACAAGUUUUCCAUAUACAAGUUGAUAAGGUGACAUGCCUAUUGGUGUUCUGAAUGCAGUACUAUAUGCCCAAAGUGCAUGAGGAAGUUUGUCCUUCCACCCCUUACCCAUCUCAUCUAUGGUCUUUUGUAAAAUAUUUUUGAUUUGUUUGUUAGAUGUUUCGUCUUGACCGCUAGUCUGAGGAUGGUAUGGUGUUGCGACGUUGUGUCGAACUCCAUGAUCGGCUAGGUACUUCAGGAAGAUUUUGUCGAUGAAGUGGGAACCUCCAUCGCUUAUAACUAUCCGGGGUAUACCAAAGCGAGGAAAUAUUACUUCAUGGAACAUUCUCUUGGCAUGUUUUGAAUCAGCUGAUUGACAAGGUAGGGCUUCUACCCAUUUGGACACGUAGUCCACAGCUACUAAGAUAUACUCACAAUUCCCGGACAUAGGGAAUGGCCCCAUGAAAUCAAUGCCCCAUACAUCGAAAAGUUCUACUUGAAGAUUAUUUGUGAGAGGCAUUUCAUUUCGUGAGUUGAUAUUCCCAUGUUUUUGACAUCGCUGGCAUCUCCUGACAAAGUUCUUUGUAUCUGUUGACACCGUUUUUGGACACGUAUCUUUGGAUACGCACCUAGAGUUAAUGAAGUGUAGAUCGGCAGGUGGGGAGAUGGUGACUAGUCUUCAGGGGAGUUGCCGAUGAAGGUUGGUGCCGAUGGGAAAACAACCGAAUAUGACCAAGUCCAGGAGUGGUGAUGCGUUCGUGCCGAUGACUAGUGCUGAUGGUUGCCGAUGGCUGUGAAAGGCGGUCUGCAGAUGCUUAUGAAGAAAAGCGUAGGGGUUGCCGAUUGACUGGUGGCAGUGUACCAAUCGGUUGCGGAGGAUAGUUUAAUGUUUUCCUUAGUUAUUAGACUUCGUUUUGUAUACGGAUUCCGUUUAAUUUGGAAUUCGCAUUCUAGUCGUGUCUGGUUGUAGUUCUUUUGAACAGGGUAUAAAUAUAGACCCCGUGGCAAUGUAAUUAGAUAUCUAUCAAUCAAUCAAACACAAGUCCUUACACAUAUUCUAGCACCUACUUUUUGACGACUUCGUCAUAUUUUCCUUUUUACUACGAGUUCUUAGGAAUUCGUCGAGUCAAACUCGACGUGUUCUCUAGUUCUGCGUGAGCACCUCUUGGCCGUGACAUCCAGGUGCAUCGCUGUUGUCAGGACCAAAGUGUUCGAGUUACCACCUUUGUCGAUUGUAAGGUCAAAUCGGCUGGCACGCCUUAACGUUUGAAUCAGGUAUUAGCCCUUUGUGUUUGCAGAUCAGCUUUUGCAUCAACACAUCUUUUGGCACGCCCAGUGGGAUAGAGAUUCAAGAUCAAGAUCAACAUGUCGAACACCGAUUUCGACUUGGAGAACGUUAUCCCCAUGACGGAAGCCUAUCUCAGAGAUGAGCAAAAGCAAGCUAUGGCAAAAGCCAUGAAGGACUACAAGCAGCUAUGCUUGAAAUCCUUCAGUAUCAACAGGAGUGGUGAGGUGAUCCAGAAGGAAGCAUUGCCGGCACCUCGACAAAUAACUUUUGAAGCCAAUCCUGGUAAACUGCAAGAGAUGGUUGAUAGUGCUGUCAACCGCGCUUUGAUCAAUCAAUCUGGUGUACUGUCCAAUACGGUUUUCAAUGAUGUGGCUAGAACUUUCAAAGAAGGACAAGUACCACCAUCUUAUGUGGGUCCUGCCUGUCAUCAGCCAGGGUCAUCGGUGGUUUUGGCUCCAUCGGCUACUACGGCCGUUGCAGGUGCAGAAGUUACUUCCCCUCCAAGCACGUUAGGGAUGACUAAUGCGCAAUCUACACCGAUGACAACUAAUCCAUCAACGUUGGAUGGGCAAAUCAAACUUGCUACGGAUUUAUUGGCAUCGGUGAUGUCAGGGACUGUUCCUCCCAACUGGUGGGGCUAUGGUAUGCCCCCAUAAUUGAUGGAAAAAGGUCAUGGAACAUCUCAAGUGGCUGACGUGACAGGCAUGGCUCCCAUGGCAUCGGCACCUCCAAGCUCGCCGAUGACUCAGAAUCCCCAGUAUACUACAACUACUACUGCAAGACCUUUCACUAGAAAUUCUCAAGCGCCAACGUUCCAGAUGCCUAAUGCAUCGACAGAUCCAAUGCCGACGCAGCAAAGGUUUAUGACACAGCCAGGGUACGCCAAUUCAAUGAUGAUGCCUAACUAUCAAUCAUCGGCAGGACCCAUGCCGAUGAAUGUUAAUAGUGGAUGGACAUGACAGUUUGUCUUUCCACAGAUGCCUCAGCAGAAUCAUCAGGCUGUAGGGUUUCAACAGGGACCAGUCCAACCUAGGUUUCAGAAUCAAGGGUUGAUCAAUCAACCGAUGAAUCUUGGUCAGCAACUUGGUGGUCACCAGGCGAUGGUUAAUCCAAUGUUCCAUGGAGAUCGUGCACCUCAGAGACACGUGGAAGCCUAUCAGCAGGUGCUAGAUCCACAGCCACCUCAUCGGCAAGAUGCCGAUGCUUAUUGGGCCGAUAAGAUAGCUGAAGUGAUGAGGGACCAAUUUGGGAUAAAACUCAAAGUCAACACCUACUCUUAUCAGACACCGUAUCCUCCUGCAUAUGACUUAAUUCCACUUCCAAAUCGGUACAAGGUACCAGAUUUCACCAAGUUUUCUGGGCAGGAUGAUACAUCGACUAUGGAGCAUGUUAAUAGGUUCAUCAUCCAGUGUGGAGAAGCUGCUAACAGAGAUGAGUUGAGUGUUCGCUUGUUUUCAUCAUCUUUGUCUGGAUCGGCCUUUACUUGGUUUAUUUCAUUACCUCCUAAUUUAGUGAUUACUUGGGCCGAUUUAGAAAAACAAUUUCAUAAAUACUUCUUUUCUAGAGUUCAUGAGAAGAAGAUUACCGAUUUAGUCAGGCUGAAGCAACGCAAUGAUGAAUCGGUUGAAAGUUUUGUGCAAAGGUUGCGAGAGGUUAAGAAUAGAUGCUAUAGUCUGAUUCUGGAUCAUCGGUAGCUAGCCGAUUUGGCUUUCCAGGGAUUGUUGCCUCAUAUCAGAGACAAGUAUGCUUCACAGGAGUUCAAGAGUCUAAGUCAUUUGGUGCAGAGGAUUUCUGACCAAGAUAUUAAACCUUUUGAACCUAAGAGGGCAUGGAAUAAAAAGGUGUCAUUUGUUGAUAAGGCAGCAAGCUCAGAUUCUGAUGAAGAACCAGUCAUCGGAUUGGCAGAAUGGGUGAAGAAUAAGAAGCCGAUGUCUUGUCCUUUUGGGCAUAAGGAACCAGAGAAGUUUGCAUUUGAUAUCACCAAAGCCGAUAGGAUAUUUGACUUUCUACCUCUGGAAGGGCAAAUCAAGUUGUCACCCAAUCAUGUGAUUCCAUCGGCAGGGGAAUUGAAGAAGAUGAAAUACUGCAAGUGGCAUAAUGCAAUAUCCCACAGCACAAAUGACUGCAAGGUUUUUAGGCAACUGCUGCAAUCGGCUAUAGAAUCUGGGAGAAUUAAGUUUGAUAAUUCCAAAGCUCAGAAGCCAAUGAAGAUUGAUCAACAUCAUUUCCCCACAAAUAUGUUGGACGCUAAGGGAAAAACCAAGGUCUUGACAUCAGAGGCAGUUGAAAGAAGUGCAUCGGUAGAUCCUCAGCACCAGAUUACUACCGAUGAUGCCAAAGGCAAAGGUUUGAUCCAGGAAUGGACCAGUUCAGGAAGACCUCCCUGAUUUGGUAUUGUGAUAACCCAUAGGAGGCAUCAAGAGACCUGGCAGCAACGUGAAGAUCGGUAUCGACGCCAACAGGAGGAUAGUCGGUGGGAAGUGGAAAGACGCCGACAAGAGUGGAAUCGGCAUAAAGAUCACUGGAACAGCCCUUCUUUAUCCAUUGUUGGGAGCAAAACAUCAAACUACCCACUGUUAGGGAUUGCCCUGAGUGCAAUGGUUAUGAUCGGUAUGAUAGACCUAAUCGGCAGUAUCAAAAUGAUGAUCGGCGAUUUAAUGGGCCGAUUAGGGGGAGAGCUUCAGUUCAUGAUCGGCUGGGGGGUAGGCUCAGUGUGCAUGACAGGCUUGGUGACCAUGUCGGGUAUUUUCCCAGAAAUCAAGAGGAGCUUGAAGAGAUGGUAGAUGCACGAGUUCCUGAUGAGUUUAUAUUUUGCAGGGAUGCUAAUACUUAUCGAGUGGAAUCAAGGGAAAAUCGUCGCCAAUCGGUAAGGCAGCCACAACUUCCUCCAUGAUGUCUAGAGGGGCUGACUAGGACACAAAAAAGAAGGCUGCACCGUGAAAGACGAGAAAAGUUAAAUAAAGAAGAUAGUUCAGCCAAAUCCAGAGAACAGCAGCAGCUGGAUCCUAAAGGAAAAGGGCCACCGGCAGAUGUUAAUAUGGUGUUCAUGUUGUCGAUGGAAUUCCUUGCGCCGUCCAGUGAUGAUGAUGAGGUGGAUUUUUCCGACCAAAUAGCUCAGUUUGCUCUAGAUCCGAUGACGGCUAUCUUUGAGAAACCUGCCGACAAUGAAAGACAACACCUUGAAGCUGUGUUUGUCAAAGGUAAGGUUGAUGGGCAGCCAAUGACGAAGAUACUUGUUGAUGGUGGGGCUGCUAUCAAUAUUAUGCCGUAUGCAAUCUAUCGGAAGCUUGGGAAAGGAGACCAAGACUUGACCAAGACCGAUAUGAUGUUGAAGGACUUUGAGGGGAAUCACUACUAGGGAUGUGUGCAGCAAUGACGGUUUACAUUCGUCACCGAACACCCCAGAAUCGUCACAUGCUUGCAUCUGUGACGAAUUGGUGACGAAAAUGGCUUUGUCAUGGAAUUAGCGUCACAUUUGUACUACCAUGACGAAAUGAAGAUUUUCGUCACAGAUGUGCUUUUGUUCUAUGACGAAAUGUUGAUCGUCAGAGAAUAGUAUUCGUUCUAUGACGAUCCCGUUUUGUCAAAGAAAGAGCCCAGUUUUCGUCAUUAUCUAUCGUCCGUCAGGGUGCCUGAUGCCGUUUGCCAUGCUGGCAGAUGACGUGGCAUGUCAGCUGACGUGGCCAAUGACGUGGAUGGUCCAGGUGCCUUUUUUCAGGACCACGUGUCGACUUUUUAUGAGGACAACAAAAUUGUAAUUAUUAUUAGAAUAAUUAUGGAUUGUAUGAAAAUUUAGGAUUAACAUCUAAGAGGUAAGAAAUAAGAUAUGAGCAGAUUAUAAAUUUGUUGCAACCAUCCUCAUCCUACUACAUGUCAUGAUCUUGGAGCCUACUGAAUGCAUACAUUUCUUCAACGACAAUAGCCUGUUAACCUGAACCUACAUGGACAAGUUGUAGAUACAUUUCUAUAUAUUCUGCUUAGUGCGUUUGCAUAUAUUAAUUUUUUCAGGAAAGUAAUAUAGAUGCAGUAUUGUGGCUGUUUGGGAAAAAAGGGAAAUGGAAGACGACAAAAGGGACAUAUGUGCUGUUAAAUUUCUUUAAAGAUAUAUGAUUCUAGGGUACUGCUUCGGUCUACCAUUGUAGAGUCCCAAUCCACCCAACCAAUCCAGCAUCUAGCGCAAACAUUUUGAUGAUCUAGACAUGAAAAUGGAACCAGUACAGAGUUCUUGGAGAAAUUUUGCUUACCUUCAGUUGUCGGUGCUUUCCUACCUUGUCCCGUUGUCUGCACCGUCGUCGUCGUCGUUCGAGAUCAGCAGAAUCUUGGAGAGCAGAUCACGUCGGCGUUGCAAGUCGUUGGUGGAGAUCCAGGCACGGUGUCUAGGGUUUCGUGGGGUCGAGAUAGAGAGAGGGGAGGUGGUGACGAGAGAUAGGGCAAGGCGGCGAAUGUCGUCGUCGGCGUCGGAGUUCGUGCGCCAGGUUCCUUGGUGAUGGCUAGGUUUGUGUGGGGCGAUAGAGGGAAUGGGGCGUCUGAAGUGGAAGAGGAGAUGGGGAAUGGAGCGAGAGAGGUGGAGAUAGAUGGGGAGGUGGACUGAGGAGUGGGAAAUUUUUUUGGCGGCCGAUUUUUUUUGGCGCCUUUUUUAGAGGAAAUGGCGCCGUGGUGGUGUUGACGGUCCUUAAUGCUCAUAUUUAACCAUCAAUUAAUCAUAGAAAAGGAUCCAAAUGCAACCAACACCUAGACAUAGGGUUUUAUCUGACAGAAUUCCACAAGUUUUGGUGUUUGUCUAUUUCUGCAGGGGGUUAUCAGGAAAUAUGGAAGAAAGGCCCACACGUCGGGUUUACAUAGAGAUAUUAACGUGCCGCACAAUUAUCUACCAUCUAGAAGACUCCAGAAGCCACGGGACCAAAGCGGAGGUCGAGAGGGCUCAGGCACUGGGCGCCCGCCCUACCUUACUGGGCGCCCGCCCUCCCCCCUGGACCAAACAGAGUCCAAUUCGGGGACAACACUCCACCGACCUAAUACUUCAAGGAAAACCACACGAUCAAUGUCGGUUUGAUCCGACGGCCCAGAUUCACUUGAAGGGACUAUAAAACCAGACCCCCCUGGCCCCUGGAGAUCAUACCUCUUCUACAGAAUCAAAGCUAGGGUUUCAAUUCUUCAUCCAAGUAGAGAGGAUCCCUCUAGUUCUUCUAGUUCUACCUCUAGUUCAUCUAGAUCUAGUUCUAGUUCAUCUAGUUCUAGUUCUAGUUCCUCUAGUUCUAGUUCUAGUUAGUUCUAGUUGUAAUCUAGAAAAUAGGGAGAGAGAAGAGGAGAGCAGAGGAGGAGCCGGAUCUGUCGGAUCUUCCUCAACAUUGUACUUUUGCAGCAUCUGGUUCGUUCUUCAUCGUUCUCCAGGUUCUUCAACUCAUAACUCCUGAGUUCUCUAAUUACUUUUAUUUACAUUCAAGUUAUUUAUUGGAUUCCCGCUUGCAUCAAGUGCUCUAGUCUUUGAAACAUUAGAGUAGUAAUCAAUAGAUUAGACGUGGUGUUUAGUCUUGCGAUUACCUGGAAUUGCACCCAAUCUUGCGGAUUGUUGUGGUAGCCUUAGGGUAGUGACAGCCUUAACGGUCGACGUAUUCCACCACAUUCGGAUCGGUGUUUGUAGGACCGUAGUCAGACCUUCCUAGCCCCCUUCUCAUCUCUUUCUGUGGUUAGUGCUCUAAUGUCCCGAUAUAAAUAAUCUUGAAGUAAUUCUUGAUUCUUAGAUCAACUAGAGAACUCUCAGGAAACUUCCUCUCUUCCCACCAAAAACAAUUAUAUAGUUAUCCUUGGGCGAUCUUGGGUCUUAAUUAGUACACUCACGUUCUCUAUGGAAAAUCGAUACUCUGGAAUACUCCCAGGUGAAGGCUACAUCGGUAUCCGUGCGCUUGCGGAUUUUUCUGUUUGCGUUUAAAAUACCCAACAAGCUUUCUGGCGCCGUUGCCGGGGGACGGUAGCUGUGCUAGUUUCGAACCAAGUCGUCCGUGUAUCCUUUUUCUUUUCCUUUUUUACCACAUUCACCUUACCAUUUUCACCACACCAUAUGGAUUUCACUCUAAGCAUUAAUGAGCAUGGAAUUUAUUUCAUAGCCACUUCAUUUACUCCAUGCUCAUAUGCAACAUCUUCCCAAUCCAUUGGUUUUUCCAACAUCACCACAUUCGAGAUCUCCAACCCCCUCAUCCUUUCUAUUUAUAAAAACUUUAAAAGGGCGGUUGUCGAUGCAUAGGUCUAUAAUAAAUUUUGCAGAUCUCGUUGAGUUGAUCUUGAUAUAGGUCAGCGUUGGAGGGGAAACCACUUCACUGACAUAAAUUGAUGGUUUCCCAAGGACAAGCUUAGUGUCCUAAAACAAGCACUGAUGAGAGCAUAAGAUGAGCUUUUAAUUAUUUGCAACAUUACCUUGUGUGUUGAGCAUAUUAGGAUAAUUGUAAAAAUAUUCCUUCGGGUAUUCUUGGCACUAACCUUUCCAGGAUUGGAGCAAGAAGAUCGGAUGAAUGACAAGCACAAGGUAUGUCCAACCAAUCGUCAUACAACAUUGAAUUAAAUUCAUCCAAACUUGAAUUUUGCAAAAUUCAAGCUUGGGGGAGUACUUUAUAUAAAAACAUCAUUUGCCAUGUUGCUAUGUUGGUUGUCCCUACCUUUGAGACAUGCUCAAUCUGUUAAAUACUAAUCACACUACUUUAUCUCCACUUGAGUAGAUCUCUACAAAUGCUCUCAUGCUACCUCUAUUUGCUUUAGUAUAUGUCUAGGUUUGGAGUAGUUUCAUUUAUCUCUUAAUUAAGCAUGGUGCUUAGUUAGGAAUGUUGAUCUUACUUCUAAGGGAUUUUAAAUUAAGCAUGGUGCUUAGGUUAAAAUGCCCUCCUAAAUCAAAUUAGACAUGGUGUCUAGGUUGAUCUUUGAGCCAAUAGUAUGCUAUAGUAGAUAUUGGAUAUUUUGUUGGACUAACCCCUGUAGGAAAACUUUCAAUAUCGACCUGGGAAGUCCUGAGAUAAACUCACAUUGGAGACAAAGAGAGACACACAUGAAAUUUAACAAUUUAUACAAGGAAGGCAUAGCUCACAAGUGAUGAUCCAUGGAGGCUGCCACAAACACGAUGCACAACCGCUAAGAGAGGAAAGCUUCCACAAGGUGAUACUGUACCAUCACUCUCCAAGUAAGGUAAUAUCUUAAGGUACUUGACUAUCACUUUUAUAAGUUUCUCCUUGGUUCUAGCGUUUCACAUGAAUAAAAGAGACAAACAUGUAUGAUUUACAACUCUAGAUUAACCAACCCAAUCGAUUCAACAUGUUUAGUCCUUCCACCUUUGUGAUCCCAUACUCCUAAUAUCAGCUAAAAUGUUGCACACUCAAUCUUUGGAAGAUAUAUAUAUAUAUAUAUAUAACAUAAGUAUAGAUAGAUUACCUUUCCAUUAGGUUGAGCGAUCUGAUCUUACAAAUGUUCUAAAUGCUACACUCAUGAUCUUAUUAUCCAUCAACUUUGUCUUGCUCACUAUGCUUAAGGUUAGAGAGAACAAAUAUACUUUUGGUUCUGUUGGUGUUUUCCACCAACAGGGCCCAUGCACUUGAUCUCUGCCUUGUCUCUAUGAGUAGGUACACUUCGAGCAAAAUAUGAAGGACUUUUAUAACUCCCAGACUCCACCAAGUGAAGAACCUAGAUCUACGAGCACAAACACACUGGAGAUACUGGACACUCAGGCAAUCACUGCACUGAGAUGCUUGAGGACGUAACUACUGGAGUAACCCUGUUGUGGAAGUAAUUACUGACCAUCUGCCAGUCAAGAGAUACAAUCCAGGACGUCCCGUCAUCCCGAUCUCCAUCGGCAUGGUGGACUUCCUAGAAGCACUCUGCAACUUUGGCUCCAGCGUCAACAUUAUGCUCAGGGUACUCUAUGAAAAAUUCUUUACACAUCCUUUAUCAGAAACAACCAUGGGUUUGCAGCUUGCAGAUCGUACACUAAGUUUCCCAAAAGGGAAUAUUGAAGAACCUCUGCGUCCGAGUUGGUACCUUGUAAGCCGCAGCACACUUCAUGGUGAUAGAGACUGGUACAGAUGAGAGGGCACCCAUCAUUCUAGGGAGGCCAUUCCUAAACACUUCGGGAGCUAUCAUCUACGCUAGUGCUGCCAAGAUUAGUUUCUACAUCAAGGGGAGGAAGGAGACAUUUUCCUUCAAGAACAGGACUACACAAACCUUAGAGCAAUCCCGACAUGAACCAAGGAAGAGGACCAACAGGAGGAACAGGAACAACCAAAUGUGGACCGAGUCAACUAAGAUGGUCACUGCAGUUCAUGGAGGUCAAGAUCAUCAACUGAAGUCACCAUUCCUAACCAAAAAGGACGACUAAGUCACCUAUCAGCUCCUGCAUGGAACCAUGUCCCUGCAACCAACAUACAUUCAGCUCCAGAUGAUUUUAAGGUUAUUGACAUGGGAGAAGACAAGUACGAUCCACCCAUCAUCCUUGGAAGACCGUUCCUCAGCACUGUUAAAGCAAUCAUCUAUAUUGGAACCAGAGAAGUCCACAUGCACUUCCCCUCUGAGAAGGUACGCCGCUAUUUUACUAACCCUAACUAUAUAGUCGAAGACUCUAAGCAGGUCAGGACAAGAAGAAGACGACGCAACCGCAACCAGGCGAGCAAAAUCAUCAAGGACGGAUGGGCGGACUAUGAGUCUACGAAGGAGAAGUGCACCGAGGCAGGUGUGGAGAGAGAAGAUAGUUAUACAUGAAGACUAGGCGCCACCGGAACCACCGACUACGCCAUCCAGCGAAUCCCAGGACGAAUGAGAAAACGGAGAGUCCCGUUCGGAGGACUUAAAAACACCGAACGCCUUGCCAAGAGGUAAACUUGGUAGUUAUCUUUUUCCUUUCAACUAUUUAAAAUAGUUUGCUUAGUUAAUCAGGUUCAUAUCAUCUUGAAAAAAAAUAAAAAUGUUAAAAAUAGUAAGCCCCAUGUGAUUAUGCUCAUGGCAUAAAACCCAUAAGUACAUUCACUGUGGUGGCGUAAAAAUAAAAUAAAUAUAUUCCUGUCCUAUAAAAAUAAAAAAAUAAAUUUAUGAUCCUACUAAAGAGAGUAACAUUUAUUAGGAGGAAUCUCAAUAUGAUAAAGGCUAAGGAGAUUUUAUGCUAACACUUAACCAGUUCCACAAAGCUUUGUUGUCUAUUUGAGCUCCACAGAAUUCAAGGAUCAAAGAAGACUAGUAGACAGAGGACAUCCUAAUCACUGUCAGGGUGCUGCUGACAUUCAAAUACACCUCCAUCACCUGCUAGCUACAUCAGGAGAAAUUACGUCAAAAUCCAGCUUGGGGGAGAGCACCCCCAUUUAUCCAGCUAAGUGUUCUACUCACGUUUAUAUUUUAUUCAGAUAAUAAAAAGAUGCAUAAUGAUAAAAACCCAAAUAAAGAUUUCAUGCUUAUAUAUAUUUUUGCUUAGUUUGCUAAAUAAAUAAAUAAAUAAAAUUUGCUAUGGACCCUCAUGAUAAGCUCUCACAUGGAAAUGAUGAAUAAUUGCUCUGCUAUGACUAGUUCUUAAAUUGAAAUCUCUCUCAAGUUUAGGCAUCACUGGUAUUAAUUAAGAUUUGCUCUAAACCUGAACUUGUGGGAAGAGUACUUGAUCUGAAGUCUAUGUCGUUAACAGAUAUGAUAUGGGAAGGUUGAGCUGUUGUUUAUCUGUUCCUAGAGAUGCUAGAAUUCUGGAGAAUUUUAUCUUUGAAAAUCUUUAAAAUAUUGCAUGAUGAGUUCCUAUAUGAUGAGAGUUUAAAUUCCUACCACAGCUGUUGAUAUUUGGAAACGCAAUAAGGAAUUGAUCCGCAAGCGCACGGAUAUCGGUGAGCACUUCACCCGGAAAAUUAUCCAGAGUAUCGUAUUUAUUUUUUUACCACUAGGAGAAAGAGUGCAUCUGACUAACCGGUCUAUUACUACUAACCUUUAGGCACAAAGAAUGUCUUUUGAUGUGAGUGAUAAAUAGAGAAGACUGCAACCGUAGUCUCCUUCUAACCUUGGUAAGGAUGAUCUACUGUUGUAAUGGGGAGGCUAAGGGAAUCUAGACAACACAAAGGAUGUUCGACCCGCACCUAUAAACCCUAUCCUUCCUGCUAACGAGAUGUGAUCUACAAAGGUAGCUCGGAAUUGUCACGUUCCUCACUACUACCACGGUCCAGCUAGUCAGGGAAUAUCUAUGAGUACCCCAGCCUAAACACCAUGUUUACGCCAUCAAUGAUUACUCUAAACUCUACGCGAAGAGAUUAAAGUAAAAUCAUAAACCAUAAGAACAAUAAAACAAGAACUUACUAGAAUUUAGAAGUCGAAUUACUGAAGAAUCCUAGGAGCAAGCUUCGGAUUAGGAGAACUUGAUCCCGCAGGUACAAGCUUGGAGUAGACACCGACAAGCCGGGCUCCUCCACUCUACACCUCCACUCUAUCUCUCUCAAUCUAGUAGAAACUAGAAGAUCUAUUUCUACCUUACAUUGAUUGCUAAGCCUAAAAAGAAAUAUUAAUUAGAGAAGAGGUUUUCCUUCGAGGGCACCCCUCAGUCUCUAUGAUAAUUUCUUCAUGUCUUCUCGAGGGGCCAGGGGGCCUUGCUUAUAUAGUCCUCCCAUUCUAUGCAUUUUUGGGUCGAUAGGCGAGGUGGUACUAUGUUUUUCUUGAUCCAAUAGGUCAGUGGAAUAUCCCGAGCGAAAGAGUCCUGAUUUGGCUCCAACAGGGGGGCGGGCGCCCAGGCUACCAGGGCGGGCGCCCUGGGCCUGGCCCAGUUUCGCCUCCGCUUCGGUCUCGUGGCUUCUGGAGUCUUCUAGAUGAUGUAAAAUUGCGCGGUGCGUUGAUAUCUCUAUGUAAUCUCGACAUGUGGACCUUUCUUCCUUAUUUCCUGAUAACCCCCUGCAGAAACAGAUAAACAACAAAACUCGUGGAAUUCUGUCACAUCAAACCCUAAUUCUAGGUGAUGGUUGCAUAUUGGUCCUUUCUCUUGUUUAUUUGAUAAUUAAAAUUGAUACUUAAGAACCGUCAACAAAUACCCCCAUACUUAGGCUUUUACUCGUCCUCGAGAAAAGGAUGGUUAAGAAAAAUAUCUGGGGUAAAACAUUUUAAAGCAUUCUCUAUAUAAUUGCAGGGUGUUAAAAAUUCCACUGUGUACCAUAGUCAGGGAUGUAUAUGGUUAAGAGUAAAGAUCCUUUCUUCUCAAUCCUGUCAUUUGGAGCUUUUGUAUAUUUUUGAAAGAAAGUUAGCAUACCUUUUUAUCCUCAUAGGUUCUCUCAGAUCACUCAUUAUCUUUUAUAUAUAUCUCACUGAGGCUGUUUUAUUUUGCAAAAAUUCUCAAGCAUACUUACUUUGCAUUUAUUGCCUGAUCAAAACGGGAUCCGAGGAGGGGAAUGUCAUACUCUUAGAUCAAAGACUUUGGAAAUUAAAAACUUUGUCAACUCUUGCUGGCAUAUUGCUUAUUAGAGGGACCAUGGGCUAUCAUUUUUUUUAAGUGGAUACCGAGGUACCCCUAAUUCUACUGCCGGACACUUGUCCAUUUUUCUGCGAGGUUGUCGAGCACUUGCUCCUUUUUAUUUCCUCGAAAUAUUUCUAUUUUUGCAUAGCCCAUGCCUCUAAUGCAAUAAUACUUCGGAAGAGUGAAUCUUACUGAAAUAAUGUCUUGAUCUUAGGAGCAUGAUAAAUCUCUCAACAAGGGUCUAACUCAUUUUGAACAAACUCAAUACAGAGCAGAUAGCUUUUAUAAUCAUAAUUAAUAUUUUCAGUUUUAUCAGGCAUAUAAAACACUGAGGAUGGUAGCUAUAAUUUUGAAUAUUUUGAAAUAAACUCUCCAAGCAACAAUGAUAUCAAGAAUAAGAAACUCAUACUCUACCAUCACAUAUUCCAUAUUGACUUAAGUAACACAAGGUUUUAAAAUGAUUUUCAAUAAUUGCAAGUUUUCAGGAAAUAUCACAGAUUGAGAUUAAUCAUGAUUAGAAAUAUUUUAAUCCUUUUAUUUUAGCAUGUCGGAAACAGUAAUCUGCAUAAUCCAGAAUAAAUGUAUGUAUGAAGUAAAGUGUGCAGAGUGUGUACCUGAAUUGUGGAGUGGUGCAGUUGGAGUGUGUUUGGUAUGUCGAGGGAUCUCCCCCAUACUUGUUUUCUGCUUUCUUGCACAAAAAUAAAGUGGAGACACACAAGACAUAAUAAUAAUAAUAAUACUCUUUAUUAAUAUUGAGGCAUUUAUUACAAAAGACUAAUAGCAAACUAAUAAUAAUAGUAAACCUAAACCGAAUUUAAAGAUAGAUAACUAAAAUGCAUUGCCUCAAGGUCUAAUCUAGAUAACUUAGCGGCGCUCUAAUUCCAUGAUCUUCUUGUUGGCACUGUCAAGAUCCUGCCUAAGGCCUAGUAUAAUGGUGUUGUGGUUAGAGAGCUGCCUAGUAAGGGAAUUAAUCGAGGACUGGAGGUCUAUGAUAACUCUAUCUAGCCUGCGAACUUCCUCAUCAAUAUCCAUUAUAGUCUUGCGACGCUUGGGAGGUGUCUCAAAAGCAUUGAGAUAGUGCUUCGGGGCUGCCUUUGGAGGGAUGAAACGGACUUUGGAUGCUCUAAUCCCUUCGAAGUAAGGCCUUUCCUCCUCCGUAGUGUAGCGAAUACUGCUGAUCUCGCCGCUUCGGUUGGUCUUGACUCCAACGACCCUCUCAUUGGGUCUAGGUGGAAGGAUCCUUAUGCCGGUUGGCACCUUGAUAGUGGUCUUCGUCUUGGAUGAUGAUCCUGUGAGGAGUAGGGGUUGUUGUGGUGCGGUGAGAACUGGUUGAGCAUGGUAAGAUUGGGCGGAGCUGCGUUGACGUAAUGGCAUGGCUUCUAGCUGACGCUCUGUGUUGGCCGGGACGAGAGCACAGGCAUCGGGGUCUUCCACUGGCUCCAUGUUGAGGUUGAAGGGGACGACUUCCCAAUCGUCGUGGUACUUGUCGGCCAUUGGAGUAGCAAGGAACUAAUAAAAUUUUAAUUGAAGUAGAGCUAAUCAAGCUCUAAUUGAAGGAGAGCUAAUCAAGCUCUAAUUGAAGGAGAGGAAGCUUGGUGGCUUGGUGUUUGAAAACUGAGGUCAGGGGUCUGUUUAUAUAGGGGUCAAAAGGGUGCCUCUAUGGGUUGUUCGGGUUGCUCCCGUCGAUGUGCAUGCAAAACUUUCCAUCCGAGGGAUUAUUCGGAUCACCCUAAGUGCAUUUUCCAUAACAGAGAAAGUCGGGACCGAGGGGGAACAGGGGCUGGGCGCCCGCCCACUUGACCUGGGUGCCCGCCCUCUCUCUGGCCCCACUGUGGGCCCACUUCUCCGAGCGUGUUUCUAGAUGCGGAAUUAUUUAGAAAAAUAUAUAUAUGACCCAAAACCAUCAGACCAAAAGUGUCGGGCUCUAAUUCUCCAUGGGAAGGUAAAAAUGGACUACGUCUAUUUCUUCAAAUUCCUCAUUGGGCUCUAAAAAUAAUUUAAGACGUUGACCAUUUACCUUGAAUAACGUACCUUCGCUAUUUUUGAAGUGUGAUAGCUCCGUGGGAUGAUGAAUUGAUUACCUUGAAUGGUCCUUCCCAUUUGCUCUGGAGUUUUCCAUGCCCGAAAAGCUUCACCUUGGAAUUAAAAAGUAAUACCUUAUCUCCGGGUGUGAACUCCUUCUUCUUGAUUCUCUUGUCAUGCCACCUCUUGACUCUUUCUUUGUAGAUUUUUGAAUUGUGAUAUGCCUUCUCUCGCCAUUCUUCCAAUUCUGAUAGUUGCAUUCUUCUAUAAUCUCCAGCAACAUCUAGGUCCAUAUUCCAUCUCUUUAUGGCCCAGUGUGCUUUGAACUCUAGUUCAACAGGUAGAUGGCAAGUCUUCCCGUACACCAAUUGGUAUGGAGACAUUCCAAUUGGGGUUUUGUAUGCUGUCCGGUAUGCCCAAAGUGCAUCGGGUAACUUGUCUUUCCAUGCCGUUCCCAUUUCAUUUACUGUCUUCUGAAGAAUAUUCUUGAUUUGUUUGUUGGAAGUCUCUGCUUGGCCACUUGUCUGAGGAUGAUAGGGGGUAGCGACGUUGUGACGGAUUCCAUGUCUUGAUAGAUAUUGCUUGAAGCGUUUGUCGAUGAAGUGUGCUCCUCCAUCACUUAUCACUACUCUGGGGACUCCAAAUCUUGGAAAUAUAAUUUCUUCGAACAUCCUCUUUGAACUGACGUUGUCGGCAUGCUUGCAAGGUAAUGCUUCUACCCACUUGGAGACAUAGUCAACCGCCACCAAGAUGUACUCGCACUUCUUUGAUGGAGGAAAUGGACCCAUGUAGUCUAUUCCCCAGACAUCAAAGAGCUCAAUCUGAAGAUUGUUGGUGAGUUGCAUUGCAUCCCUUGUAUUUAUGUUUCCGUGUCUUUGACAUGGCCCACAUCUUCUGAUAUAUUGCUUCGUGUCUUCAUACAUUGUAGGCCAAUAGAAUCCACACUUCUAGAUCUUUGAAUGUGUACGGAAUGCUCCAUAAUGACCUCUAUAUGGUGAUGAAUGACAUCUGUUGAUGAUCUUCCAUCCUUCCUCAGUGGUCACACAUCUCCUGAGUAAGCCAUCAGAGCAUACUCAGAAGAGGUAUGGCUCAUCCCAUAUAUGUGAACGACUUUCUUGAAUAAGCUUCUUCUUGUUUGCUCCUGGUGGUACAUACCCUGAAACCAUAAAAUUAACAAUAUCUGCAUACCAGGGGUCAGACCUGUUAAUCCCGUAGAGCAUGUCGUCCCGGAGUGAAUCAUUGAUUAGGGUUUCCUGUGGACUCUUAAAAUACAUUCUAGACAAGUGAUCAGCAACAGAAUUUUCUACUCCCUUUUUAUCUUUUAUUUCUAAGUCAAAUUCUUGGAGUAAUAAAAUCCAUCUAAUCAGGCGAGGUUUAGCAUCUUUUUUAGUGAGCAAAUAUUUUAAUGCAGCAUGAUCAGUGUAAACAAUUAUUUAGCUCCAACUAAAUAAGAUCUAAAUUUAUCUAUGGCAAAGACAACAGCCAGGAGCUCUUUUUCAGUGGUUGCAUAGUUAAGUUGAUCUCCUGUCGAAGUUUUACUGGCAUAAGCAAUUGCAUGAUGCUUCUUAUCUUUAGUUUGUCCCAAUACUGCCCCCACAGCAUAAUCACUAGCAUCACACAUAAUUUCAAAAGGCAACGACCAAUCAGGGGGUUGAAUGAUUGGUGCAGAGAUGAGUGCUUUCUUUAAUAAAUUGAAAGAUGUUAAACAUGCAUCAUCAAAUUCGAAAGGAGCAUCCUUGGCUAGCAAAAGAAUAAGUGGUCUAGCAAUAAAUGAAAAAUCUUUUAUGAAUCUACAAUAAAAACCAACAUGGCCAAGAAAGCUUCGAAUUCCUUUUAUAUUCACAGGUGGAGGUAGUUGUUCAAUUACUUCAAUUUUAGCUUUGUCUACCUCAAUACCUCUUUCAGACACUAAGUGUCCUAGCACUAUUCCUUCUCUAACCAUAAAAUGACAUUUUUCCCAAUUAAGGAUUAAGUGCUUUUCUUCACAUCUUUGCAAAACCUUGUCUAAGUUUUCAAGACAACUAUCAAAAGUUUUUCCAUAAAUAGAGAAAUCAUCCAUGAAAACUUCCAUAAUCUCUUCAAUCAUAUCAGAAAAUAUAGACGUCAUGCAUCUUUGAAAAGAAGCUGGUGCAUUACAUAACCCAAAAGACAUUCUACGGUAAGCAUAAGUUCCAUAAGGGCAUGUAAAAGUGGUUUUGCUUUGAUCAUCGGGAUGGAUCGGGAUUUGAUGAUACCCUGAAUAUCCAUCUAAGAGACAGAAGAACGAAUGGUUUGCUAACCGCUCUAGCAUCUCAUCUAUAAAAGGUAAAGGAAAGUGAUCCUUUCUCGUGGCUUUGUUUAAUUUUCUAUAGUCUAUGCACAUCCGCCAACCUGUGACGGUGCGUUGCGGAAUUAGCUCAUUCUUUUCAUUCAUAAUAACUAUCAUGCCUCCCUUUUUGGGCAUAACUUGUACUGGGCUCACCCACUCACUGUGCGGCACAGGAUAUAUAAUCCCUGCAUGCAGCAACUUUAUAACUUCUUUUUUAACUACCUCUCUCAUAGUGUUGUUAAGUCUACGUUGGGGUUCUCGAGAGGGUGUAACAGAAGGAUCUGUUGGAAAACGAUGGGUACAAAUCAUAGGACUGAUUCCUGUAAGAUCUUGAAGUGAGUAGCCAAAAACCGAGUGAUGUUUCUCAAGAAUGGUCAUUAAUCGCAGAGUUUGAUCCUGAGUGAGUUUAUCGCUAAUGAUCACAGGGAACUCUGGAUUAUUGUUUAGCAAAGCAUAGGUAAGACCGGGUGGUAAAGUUUUAAGCUCUAUGGGAGGUCUAGGUGUUUCUGCAAACUCAUCUAAAGGUUCAGGCUCGGAAGGUUCGUCUUCUUCUUCUGUGAAGAAAGGAGUUUCGUCUUCUAGGUCUGGUUCAUCUAAAAGCUCUAGAGAUGCAGCCUUUACUUCCUCCAUAGGAUCAGGCAAAAGAUAUGACUUGGCCUUAUUAUUUAAGGAGUGUGAAAUUAUUAUUGGGAAUUUAAAAGUUUUUCCAAAAGAAAUGUGUAGCUUUCCAGUAUGACCUUCAUAAAGGAGUCUUCUAAAAGGUUGUCCUAUCAACAGGUCAAAGUCCCAUGUAUCAAAGAUAUAGAAGUUCAAAUGAACCAUGGAGCCUUCUACCGUAAGAGGUAGGACAUUAAUAAUUCCAAGACUGGGGACUAAUCGUCCCGAAGAUUCCUUUAUGACCUUUGUUGUGGGGGUUAAGACAAGAUUUUUAAAUAGUUUAAGUGCAAAGGAUUCAGACAUAAUGUUGAUCCCCACAACAGGAUUAUAAAGAGCAUUAAAUCGAUCAGAAUUAUAAGCACAGCGUAUAGUUAUAGAGGGUGUGUCCAAUCGGAUCACAUAAGAGGAAAGCUCUGAUUCCUCCAACCAUUCGCUACUCAUUACUGAGAUAAGCUCUCUCAAUUGAUAUUCACUUGGUAAAUAAAUGCUGAACUGGCCGUUUUGGGGUUUGUCAAUAGAAUGGUAGUUUGAAAUAUUUCCAAAAUCGGCAAAAAGAUCUGAUUCUAUAUCCAGCAUGAAGUCCGGUAGUGGAAUUUCUUCCUCUUGUGGCUCAGAACUUGGGAUAGCUAAAGUAGAUGAAGAAUUUGGCAGAGUGUCUACUUCGGCUUCGUAGGUUUCAUCAUGAAGGGUAUUAUCCAGCUCAGCUUCUAGGAUUCUAUCUAGGAUCACUCUUGCUUCAUCAGCAGGGAUGCGAAAGAAAGAACCUCUAGACAUUGUGUGAAGCAUUUGUUUGUGAUUUUUCUGAAGACCCCGAAAAAAGUGAAAUAAAAGAACAGGGUCUUCAAGAUUAAGGUUUGGACCAGAUUCUAAAAGAUCAGAAAAACGUUUCCAGGAUUUUCCAAAAGUUUCAUUAUCUUUUUGUUUAAAAGAUAGGACUUCGAGUCUAAGGUCGGCUAUACGGUCAAGGGAAUAGAAAUCUAGACAAAAGUUGGCUCGUAAAACUCCCCAUUCACCUUGUUGUUGACUUACCUUCUGACUGUACCAUUGUCUAGCUUCUCCCCUUAGAGAAAAAGGAAAAAGCUUCCAACGUAAAGUCUUAUCAGAAAUGCCUUCAGUGCGAAGACAAUCACAUUGUUGAUGCAAAACUGAUCUGCAAACACAAAGGGCUAAUACCCGAUUCAAACGUUAAGGCGUGCCAACCGAUUUGACCUUGCUAUCGGCAAAGGUGAUAACUCGAAUACUUUAGUCCUGACAACAGCGAUGCGCCCGGAUGUCACGGCUAAGAGGUACUCACGCGGAACUUGAGAACACGCCGAGCUUAAGUCGACGAAUUCCUAAGAACUCGUAAUGAAAGGAAAAAAGUAUGACGAAGUCGUCGAAAAGUAAAUGCUGGAAUAUGAGUAAAAACGUGUGUUUGAUUCCUUGAUUGAUUUUUUAUUACAAGGCCCUAGGGUCUAUAUUUAUACCCUGCUCAAAGAGCUACAACCAGACACGAUUAGAAUUCGAAUUCCAAAUUACACGGAAUCCGUAUACAAAACGAUGCAAAUAAUUAAGGAAAUAACAAAACUAUCCCUCGUGACAAACCGAAACUCCUCCACAUAACGACCGGCAGCUUCCGGACUCCCUCUUUGCAUCAUCGGCAGACCCUUUGCCAUAGUCAUCGGCAGACUUUCUUAUCUAGCCAUCGGCACCAUAUUACUGCCUGUGGACUUAGUCACGUUCAACUUCUCCCUCAUCGGCAACCAUCCUCAUCGGCAACCCACUUUGUAAACAUCGUACUGCCACCUUAUCCUGCCAUCCUAGACACGUGCCCAAAAACGGUGUCAACACAUGCCCCCCAGUUUCGGAGUAUAAAACUAUUAAUGCUCCGAAAUUCUCUGCAGUAAUGAUGCCUUUUCCCGCAAUUAAUGCUCCUAAUCUGGUAACCGACAACCUCAAUCUGAACAACUCUGAUCCUAUUCCUCCGCAGAUUCCUCGAAAUCCCCAACCUCCUAAACGGGCAUUUUUCUCAGUCGUACAUCGGCAACAAUACCGUUACAAAGAUCUGCCGAUGUUCUGACCAGGAUAUUCGCACAAACGGUUACUUCGCCUCUAUCCGCCCAUCGGCAAUAUGACCGUUAUAGAAUAUUGCCGAUGGACCGACCAGGAGAUCUCGCACAGUAAAAUAUCUUCAGAUAAUGACCGCUUCCCGUCAAAUCACCUGCACAAUCCUUGGAUUACCGUGCGAACAGUUACCAUAUCCACCUGAGUACCCUCGGAUUUCUCGGAUGCGGCAAGGAGAUAAGUCGGAUUUGCCCUUGCCCAUUUUGUCCUAUAAAUAGUUCCUUCUUGGGUACUCCUUCCCCAUCACACCAUUCUACUACCCAACUUUACUUUUCCAGCGGCGGCGCCACCAAAAACUCCUAAGGUCUCCGACAAGUACCCCUCUUCACCAACUCCGGCGCCUUCACACGCUUCCUUCGCAACAAGAUGGCCGUCGGGUUCGUCGUCCCUGAGGUCAAAUCUCCACCCCGUCUUCUGUAUUUUUCUUCAUAUCCCUGUUCACUCGCAAUUCAUUUUACUGAACAUCUUCCUUUUCUUUCCUCUUUGUAUUUCUUUUUACGCCCAAAAUCACUAGGAAUUGUCCAACAAAAUUGUCAUCCCCACCGAUCAACCACACCUUCAAUGCCUCGGCCCUCUAGGGGACCCAGAUCCAACUGACCUUAUCAACGCAGAAACCAACAGGAUCCCCUUCAGAGCCGAAAAUUUUUCCUUAGAUCUGUGGAAGGACACCUUCCGCUCUUGGCCCAGCCCAACUGUAGGGUGGAAAGACUGGUUCUUGAGGGUCAGCAACUCUAAUGAAGUUCAGUGGGGUGAAAGGAAUUUAGCCCAAUGCAUUAGAUUGUCCAUUGCCGAUAUGCAUAGGAACGAGUCACUGCUGAUAGCUGCAUCCUACUUUUGGUCAGACACCCUCAAUGCUUUUGCCUUUGGCCACGGCCCUGCUUCUCCUACUCUUGCCGAUGUAGCCAUGCUUACUGGUCUAGAUAUAUCUUCUGCCGAUAGCACCCACCUUUUUGAUACUGCCCCUAGUGCCAAAGUGGAGACUCGCGCUAUCGGCGGUUGGUCGGGGUACAUUCAGAAGUACCGUGGGAAAGGAUCUGUCACCAUAAAGGAACAAACCACCUUUCUGAACAUGUGGCUGGACAAGUUUGUAUUCUGCGGUCGAUCGGCAGGACCGACUUCUGUCUACCUAUCGGCAGCAGAAAGACUGGCUAACGGUGGCCGAUUCCCUCUCGGCCGAUACUUGCUUGGCGCUGCUUACCACCUUCUCCAUCAAGUAGCCCAGAAACUUCUGCUCGGCCAAUCCACUGGCAACUUGGGAGGCCCCUGGUGGUUUGUCAACAUGUGGCUCAAUCUGCAUCUGCACAAGCGUCUCAACUUCAACCUGUUCACACAGCGUUUCCCAAGAGAUAUAGCUAAAAACCAUGUAUUGGGUGAAGAGGAAUCGGCAACACGCACCCCCUUGAACUUUGGCGAAGCUGUCAUAGUUCUGCCUGGUUCAGGGGGUAAUCCAGAUCAGAUCGGCCGAUUCUUCCAGACUCUGUAUGAGGGUUUGACCAGAGACGAACGACCAUGGUUGGCUUAUGAUGACCCAGAUAGCAUGCUCCCUCUGACCUUCAAUCCAUUUGAUGAAGCUCUUGACAGGGACAAUGAGGUGAUGAUGGCAAUUGUGACCCCAGAAUCAUUCCAGUGAAUUUCUUUGGUAGCACAAAAACCUCCCCUCAAACUUACAAAUUUUACAAUCUAUCGGCAUUAGCUCGCCAUUUAGCUUUCGGCCAGUUGCCGAUUGCACUUCCUUAUGCCGAUGUGAUAAAACCCAGAGAAACUAUCAACAACCUUCUUGAGUGGACUCGAGCAUCCCAACUACCACCAAACGCCGAUAUAGAUGUAGAUCUGUCAGAAUGGGUUCCGGCUGCUUUUAUCACUCAGGCAUACAAGUUAUGGUGGGCAGAAUGGAAAGAGCAUCUAUUCUGCAGAUCGGCACUUUCAUACCGCGGCAUGAUCGACUCCGAAUACGAAGUUCCCGAUGACACUGUAAGUAACUCAAACCAACGUUUCAUUUUCUCAAUAUGAUGCGUGUUAGCAUCCCUGCAAAAUAUGAAUUCAUCGGAAACCCGCGCAUCAGCCAUUUCCUCGAGCUCUUCUUGGUUCCUAGGAAAAUGCUGGACACGGUCACUAAGUCUGUCGUGCCCACUAAAUCUGCCCCCCAGCCGGUCAUGAACUGACACCCUUCCUCUGAUCGGCCCAUUAAAUCGCCGUUCAUCAUCAUGAUAAUGCCGAUCGAUCCUAUCGUACCGAUCAUAACCGUUGCACUCAGGGCAGUCUCUGACAGUAGGAAGCUUGAUAUUUUCCUCCCAACAAUGGAUGAAGAAUGGACAAUUCCAAUGAUCCCUGUGCCGAUUCCACUCCUGUCGGCGUCUUUCUUCUUCCCGUCGAUAAUCUUCCUGCUGGCGCCGAUACCGAUCUUCCCGUUGUUGCCAUUUUUCUCGAGGCCUUCUAUGAGUUAUGACGAUACCAGAUCGAGGAAGCCUUCCUGAGCUAGUUCCUUCCUAGACCAAGCCCUUACUUCUUGCAUCGGCAGUAGUAACUUGAUGCUGAGGAUCUACCGAUGCACUCUUCUCAGCUGUCUCCGAUGUUAAGACCUUAGCCUUCCCCUUAGCAUCCAACAUGUUUGUCGGGAAAGGAUGUUGGUCUAUCUUCAUCGGCUUCUGGGCUUUGGAACUGUCAAACUUUAUUCUCCCUGACUGUAUAGCUGAUUGCAGCUGCUGUCUGAAUACUUUGCACUCGUUGGUGUCAUGGGAAGUUGCAUUAUGCCACUUGCAAUAUCUCAUCCUCUUCAACUCUUCUGCCGAUGGGAUCACAUGGUUAGGUGACAGUUUGAUCUGACCUUCCUGAAGUAGAAAGUCAAAUAUCCUAUCAGCCUUAGCGGUGUCAAAAGCAAACUUCUCUGGUUCCUUCUGCCCAAAAGGACAAGACAUCGGCUUCUUGUUUUUUACCCACUCUGCCAAGCCGAUUACUGGUUCUUCAUCAGAAUCUGAGCUUGUUGCUUCAUCGACAAAUGACACUUUCCUAUUCCAUGCUCUUUUAGGCUCGAAAGGCUUGAUGUCUUGAUCAGAAAUCCUCUGCACCAAAUGACUUAAACUUUCGAACUCCUGAGAGGCAUACUUAUCCCUGAUAUGUGGCAACAAACCCUGGAAAGCCAAAUCGGCUAGCUGCCGAUCAUCCAGAACCAAGCUAUAGCAUUUAUUCUUGACCUCUCGUAUCCUCUGCACAAAACCCUCAACCGACUCAUCAUUACGUUGCCUCAACUUGACCAAGUCGGUAAUCUUCUUCUCAUGAACCCCCGAGAAGAAGUAUUUGUGGAAUUGCUUCUCUAGAUCGGCCCAAGUAAUUACUGAGUUGGGAGGUAAUGAUAUCAACCAAGUAAAGGCCGAUCCAGACAAUGAUGAUGAAAAUAGACGAACCCUCAAUUCGUCCCUGUUACCAGCCUCUCCACAUUGAAUGAUGAACCUGUUGACAUGCUCCAUGGUUGACGUGUCGUCCUGCCCGGAAAACUUUGUAAAAUCCGGUACCUUGUACCGAUGUGGAAGCGGGAUCAAAUCAUACGCGGGAGGAUACGGUGUCCGAUAAGAAUAAGUGUUGACUUUGGGUUUUAUCCCAAAUUGUUCCCUCAUUACUUCAGCAAUCUUAUCGGCCCAAUAUGCAUCGGCAUCUUGCCGAUGAGGCGGCUGCGGAUCUGGCACUUGGUGGCGAACCUCCACGUGUCUGUUCGGGACGUGAUCUGCAUGGAACAUUGUAUUGAUCACCUGCCCUCCAAUCUGCGGACCACCAAACUGCUGUCCACCGAUUGGCUGUCCUCCGAGUUGCUGUCCAAAAUUCAUUGGCUGGUUGGGAAUCCCCUGACCUUGGAACCCGGGAUAGACCUGCCCUUGCUGGAACCCUGUAGUCUGGUAACUCUGCUGGGGCGAUUGUGGAAAGGCUUGCUGUCCAAGCCAUCCAUUAUUAGCGUUCAUCGGCAUAGGUGCUGCCGAUGAUUGGUAAUUGGGUACCGUCGUUGAAUUGACAUACCCCGACUGGGCCAUAGACCUCUGUUGCAUCAGCAUUGACUCUGCCGAUGCGUUGGGCAUCUGGAACAUUGAAUCUUGAGGAUUUCCAGUGUGAGGCCUUGCAGUAGUAGUUGUGGUAUACCGAGGACUCUGGUUCACCGGCGCAUUGGGAGGUGCCGAUGUCAUAGGAGUUUUGCCCCUCAUGUCAGUUAUUUGUGAUGUUCCCGGUGUCAACUCUGGAGGCAUACCGUAACCCCACCAGUUGGGAGGAAGAGUCAACCCUGACAUUGCCGAUGCCAACAUAUCUGUUGUCAGUUUAUGCUGCCCAACUGAAAUUUGUGGGUUGGUUGUCAUCGGCAUAGAUAGUGCACCAGUAGUCCCUGCUGUACUUGGAGGGACGGCAGAUUGUGCACUUGCAGUCGUCAAGGCAGCCGAUGGAGCCGUGACCUCUGGUGCCGUUGGCUGAUGAUGGGAGGGGCCCACAUAAUCUGGUGGGAUUUGUCCUUCCUUGAAAGUUCUUGCCACGGCAUUGAAAACCGUAUUAGACAGUACACCAGCUUGGUUAAUCAACGCUCGAUUGAUGGCAUUGUCAACCAUAUCUUGAAGCUUGCCAGGAUUGGUGUCAAAGGUAACCUGCUGUGGUGCCGGCAGUGCAUCUUUCUGGACCACUUCGCCGCUCCUAUUUAUGCUGAAAGACCUCAGGCAUUGCUGCUUGAACUCUUCCAUGGCUUGGGCAAUAGCUUGCUUCUGCUCAUCCUUGAGGUUGGCCUCCGUCACGGGGAUGACGUUCUCUUGAUCGAGGUCAGAGAUCGACAUGUUGAUCUUGAUCUUGAAUCCUGUCCCACUGGGCAUGCCAAAAGAUGUGUUGAUGCAAAACUGAUCUGCAAACACAAAGGGCUAAUACCCGAUUCAAACGUUAAGGCGUGCCAGCCGAUUUGACCUUGCUAUCGGCAAAGGUGAUAACUCGAAUACUUUAGUCCUGACAACAGCGAUGCGCCCGGAUGUCACGGCUAAGAGGUACUCACGCGGAACUUGAGAACACGCCGAGCUUAAGUUGACGAAUUCCUAAGAACUCGUAAUGAAAGGAAAAAAGUAUGACGAAGUCGUCGAAAAGUAAAUGCUGGAAUAUGAGUAAAAACGUGUGUUUGAUUCCUUGAUUGAUUUUUUAUUACAAGGCCCUAGGGUCUAUAUUUAUACCCUGCUCAAAAAGCUACAACCAGACACGAUUAGAAUUCGAAUUCCAAAUUACACGGAAUCCGUAUACAAAACGAUGCAAAUAAUUAAGGAAAUAACAAAACUAUCCCUCGUGACAAACCGAAACUCCUCCACAUAACGACCGGCAGCUUCCGGACUCCCUCUUUGCAUCAUCGGCAGACCCUUUGCCAUAGUCAUCGGCAGACUUUCUUAUCUAGCCAUCGGCACCAUAUUACUGCCUGUGGACUUAGUCACGUUCAACUUCUCCCUCAUCGGCAACCAUCCUCAUCGGCAACCCACUUUGUAAACAUCGUACUGCCACCUUAUCCUGCCAUCCUAGACACGUGCCCAAAAACGGUGUCAACACACAUGUUUGCACAAAAUCUCUAAUAUGAAGGUAAGGGUUUUCGUCUUCCUUUCCCGAAAAAGAUAGGUUUUGAAUCUGGGCAAUCAACCUAGAACUUAACUUAUACUGGGAUGUUUGGAUAGGCUGUGAUGAUUCCCAUGGUAAAAGGUCAGUUGCUAAAGGGAUUGCAGACUCAUGGAUCGAUUUAGAAUUUUGGUUUUCCAUAAGGUAAGAAUAAAGAAAAUAAAUAAAGGAUAUAAAAGAUAAGAAAAGAUAAAAGUAUAGAUACAAGCUAGUAGCAAGACACAGGUUAUCUCAGCAACCGUCUUUCUCCCCGGCAACGGCGCCAGAAAUGCUUGUUGAUAUUUAGGAACGCAAUAAGGAAUUGAUCCGCAAGUGCACGGAUAUCGGUGAGCACUUCACCCGGGAAAUUAUCCAGAGUUUCGUAUUUAUUUUUUUACCACUAGGAGAAAGAGUGCAUCUGACUAACCGGUCUAUUACUACUAACCUUUAGGCACAAAGAAUGUCUUUCGAUGUGAGUGAUAAAUAGAGAAGACUGCAACCGUAGUCUCCUUCUAACCUUGGUAAGGAUGAUCUACUGUUCUAAUGGGGAGGCUAACGGAAUCUAGACAACACAAAGGAUGUUCGACCCGCACCUAUAAACCCUAUCCUUCCUGCUAACGAGAUGUGAUCUACAAAGGUAGCUCGGAAUUGUCACGUUCCUCACUACUACCACGGUCCAGCUAGUCAGGGAAUAUCUAUGAGUACCCCAGCCUAAACACCACGUUUACGCCAGCAAUGAUUACUCUAAACUCUACGCGAAGAGAUUAAAGUAAACUCAUAAACCAUAAGAACAAUAAAACAAGAACUUACUAGAAUUUAGAAGUCGAAUUACUGAAGAAUCCUAGGAGCAAGCUUCGGAUUAGGAGAACUUGAUCCCGCAGGUACAAGCUUGGAGUAGACACCGACAAGCCGGGCUUCCUCCACUCUACACCUCCACUCUAUCUCUCUCAAUCUAGUAGAAACUAGAAGAUCUAUUUCUACCUUACAUUGAUUGCUAAGCCUAAAAAGAAAUAUUAAUUAGAGAAGAGGUUUUCCUUCGAGGGCACCCCUCAGUCUCUAUGAUAAUUUCUUCAUGUCUUCUCCAUUGGCCAGGGGGCCUUGCUUAUAUAGUCAUCCCCUUCUAUGCGUUUUUGGGUCGAUAGGCGAGGUGGUACUAUGUUUUUCUUGAUCCAAUAGGUCGGUGGAAUAUCCCGAGCGAAAGAGUCCUGAUUUGGCUCCAACAGGGGGGCGGGCGCCCAGGCUACCAGGGCGGGCGCCUUGGGCCUGGCCCAGUUUCGCCUCCGCUUCGGUCUCGUGGCUUCUGGAGUCUUCUAGAUGAUGUAAAAUUGCGCGGUGCGUUGAUAACUCUAUGUAAUCCUGACAUGUGGGCCUUUCUUCCUUAUUUCCUGAUAACCCCCUGCAGAAACAGAUAAACAACAAAACUUGUGGAAUUCUGUCAGAUCAAACCCUAAUUCUAGGUGAUGGUUGCAUAUUGGUCCUUUCUCUUGUUUAUUUAAUAAUUAAAAUUGAUACUUAAGAACCGUCAACAACAGCCAUAUAUACAUGCUUGUUAGACUUUGAGCCACACAUUUACUUUUUACUGCUUAUGAGCAUUGAGUGUGGUCAAGCUGUGUAGACCCUUAGGAGCUUGUCAUGUGGUUAAAUCAAGAUUCACUUGCACGUUCACUCACAUAUGCUACUUCUACUCCGGAAGUACGCAUCCACUUAUAUCCACUCAUUUCUAUUUCCAGAACCACCCAAAAAUAUUCUACUUGUAAUCCGGGAGAGAAUAGCCAAAAAAGAUUAUCCUAUCUCUGUUCUUCCCUGUGAAAUAAAUGCUCAAGUUAUCUUGGUUACUACCACUUGCUAUAUUAUUUCAGGAGAUGAGUGCUCUAGAAAAAAAAGAAGAAGAAAAAAAAGAAGAAGAGAAAAAAAAGAGAGAAAAAAAAAAGAGAUACGAGGAAAUUAAAAGGGGCAAGUGCCCGGAACCUCGAAGAAAAGAAAAAGUGAGACGAGAGGUAAAAAUGGACAAGUGUCCGAUAGUAGAAUUAGGGGUACAAAAUACCCACCUGAGAGAAAAGAAAAAAAAAGAAGAAAAUAUAGAGCAUCUCAUUCUCCUCAAAAAGUUUCAAAAGAGCAAGAAAGGUAUGUAUCCCCUCAAAAGAGUAUAAGUAGAAUUAGACUUUCACCAUUGUUAUCACCAUCAUUACCAUACACCAUUCAUUCGCCACACAUGCACAUCUUGAUUUGACUUAUUGACUUGUUCUUCUAGAUCCAUGGUUUGACUAUACAAUACAUGUCUUGUAAGUAUGUAUACUUUAUCUCCCACCUAUGAGCUCCAGAUAUUAAAGCCUUAUUAGAGUAGGGUGAGAGAGAAGGCAAUGCCACUAUGCUUUAUACCAUAAAUACUACAGAUUUUGAGAGAAGGCGUAUACCAUCACUGCCUUGGUAAGGAUCCAGAAAUACCACAAAAGAGAGACUAGAGAGAGUCAUACAAGGAAUCUCUGAGUUUUAUUUGAAAAUCUGCAAAAACUCCAGAGCUAUAGUUAAUCGAAGAACAAGAGACAUGGUGCUUGACUAGACUAUUCUAUCUUUUAACUACUCAAGACAGAAGUGACGGUUACAAGUCCCAUGGUGAAAGGUAAAUGAGUAAGUUUUAAGUCUUAACAGUUUACUCUAACCAGAGAUAAGAUCUUGUUUAAACGCAUGUGUAUCUUUAAGGCAUGAAACCACUGCAGAAACUCUUGAGUUCAUCUUUGCUCAGGGACGAGCAAAGGUUAAGCUUGGGGGAGCUUGUUGACGGUCCUUAAUGCUCAUAUUUAACCAUCAAUUAAUCAUAGAAAAGGAUCCAAAUGCAACCAACACCUAGACUUAGGGUUUUAUCUGACAGAAUUCCACAAGUUUUGGUGUUUGUCUAUUUCUGCAGGGGGUUAUCAGGAAAUAUGGAAGAAAGGCCCACACGUCGGGUUUACAUAGAGAUAUUAACGUGCCGCACAAUUAUCUACCAUCUAGAAGACUCCAGAAGCCACGGGACCGAAGCGGAGGCCGAGAGGGCUCAGGCACUGGGCGCCCGCCCUACCUUACUGGGCGCCCGCCCUCCCCCCUGGACCAAACAGAGUCCAAUUCGGGGACAACACUCCACCGACCUAAUACUUCAAGGAAAACCACACGAUCAAUGUCGGUUUGAUCCGACGGCCCAGAUUCACUUGAAGGGACUAUAAAACCAGACCCCCCUGGCCCCUGGAGAUCAUACCUCUUCUACAGAAUCAAAGCUAGGGUUUCAAUUCUUCAUCCAAGUAGAGAGGAUCCCUCUAGUUCCUCUAGUUCUACCUCUAGUUCAUCUAGAUCUAGUUCUAGUUCAUCUAGUUCUAGUUCCUCUAGUUCCAGUUCUAGUUAGUUCUAGUUGUAAUCUAGAAAAUAGGGAGAGAGAAGAGGACAGCGGAGGAGGAGCCGGAUCUGUCGGAUCUUCCUCAACAUUGUACUUUUGCAGCAUCUGGUUCGUUCUUCAUCGUUCUCCAGGUUCUUCAACUCAUAACU